UACAGAGGUCCCAAGCGUUGUUCGGAUUCACUGGGCGUAAAGGGUGCGUAGGCGGUCGGGUAAGUCUGAUGUGAAAUCUCACAGCUUAACUGUGAAACUGCAUUGGAUACUAUCCGGCUCGAGGAAUGGAGGGGAGACUGGAAUACUUGGUGUAGCAGUGAAAUGCGUAGAUAUCAAGUGGAACACCAGUGGCGAAGGCGGGGCUCUGGGCAUUUCCUGACGCUGAGGCACGAAAGCCAGGGGAGCAAACGGG
rnacentral:rRNA from 1 species